CCUACAAACAGCAGCUGGUUAGUACAAACUCCAUUUUGAGAGCAGCGCUUAGAGAGUUAAUCACAUCACUUAAAAGCAUUCUUCCUGGGUAAACUUCGACAAGACACAAUUUCUGUGCUUCCCACGAUGUUGGAAGAUACAUAAUUUCAAGCAGCUCCAGCUAUGAAUGCAGAAAAGGGCGUCGUCUCACGAGUCAAUGGGCCCAACAUUUCCCAGCAUGAAGAUACUUUUACAAGACGUGAUGUUGUGUACUCAAUGCGCUUUGACACUAUUUCCACAUUCACACACUGAUGGCGGGCGCUGCCAAGCAAACCACGACCCGUCAGGAGCAAGGGUGAAGUAUCUCGCUCAAGGACACAACGAACGUGACUAGGAUGGCAGAAGCUGGCACGGCUGCUCUACCAACCGAGUCACGCCGUCCCCCAAAACUGGCCUUGAGAAGUCAUGCUGUAAACACCACAGAGGGAGCCUUGCAGCACUGCAGCGAAAGACACUCUGAAAUCCCUUUCCUUCAAAGACACCUGGGAUGUUUUAACUCUGUUCCGUUACACAGAAUGGAGCGACAUCCAGGCUUAUGGACACACACGCACGCAUCCAUGGACUAUUACUACACAGUUACACACACAUACACCCCACCCUCAAUCCCUUUGCCGCGUCGACCAACACGGAGCAGCGCCUCUGUUUACUGCAGCUUUGGGCUGGAUACCCUCACCCCAAGGCAAGUAUUGAGUUUUGUGUCAUAAUAGGUGUUCAUAUCCUGUGUUUUUGUCCGAUUAUGAUUGUGAUGAAAAAUGUUGUUAUUCAAUGAUCUUGAAAAUUUUACGUAUCGGCAUUGAUUAUGACCAAUACUGCCCCUGUUUCUUCUGGAAUUGGAUUGAUACCCAAAAUUGAGAUAGAAACAUGUAACAACAGAACGUAAGUAAAGUAGCAAGUAGAUAAACAAUAGUUUUUACAAAAUAAUACCACCGGAAAUGACACUAAAAAUAUUUCAAAUUCCCCUUCCCCUCAAUGUUGUGUUUGCACAAUAUUACACCAACGCCUGUCCUAUAAUUUAGUAACUAUAGGAUGUUCUUU